AACGAACGCUGGCGGCAUGCCUAACACAUGCAAGUCGAACGAGACCUUCGGGUCUAGUGGCGCACGGGUGCGUAACGCGUGGGAACCUGCCCUUCGGUUCGGAAUAACUCCCCGAAAGGGGUGCUAAUACCGGAUAAUGUCUUCGGAUCAAAGAUUUAUCGCCUUUGGAUGGGCCCGCGUUGGAUUAGCUAGUUGGUAGGGUAAAAGCCUACCAAGGCGACGAUCCAUAGCUGGUCUGAGAGGAUGAUCAGCCACACUGGGACUGAGACACGGCCCAGACUCCUACGGGAGGCAGCAGUGGAGAAUAUUGGACAAUGGGCGAGUGCCUGAUCCAGCAAUGCCGCGUGAGUGAUGAAGGCGUUAGGGUUGUAAAGCUCUUUUACCCGGGAUGAUAAUGACAGUACCGGGAGAAUAAGCGCCGGCUAACUCCGUG
rnacentral:rRNA from 1 species